ensembl:lncRNA
UUUUUUAAUUUUUACUGAUUUAAUAAAUGCAAUAUGUAGAUAAUGUCUAAUUUGGCUUUUUUUUGUUUACUCAGCCAAUCAGAUGCACAUAAACAUAAACAGAGAAGGAGGUCUAGUACGCACAUCAGGUUUCAGAGGCCUAAUGGGGUAUGCUGGAGUGAUGGAUCGGAUGGGCCACACAGGGUACAGAGGACCGAUCGGACCACCUGGCAUGCCUGCUAUUAUAGUCUGGUACACAUCAGAAGAAAAAUGGCAAACAUUCAAGAAAAAGAAAUUCUACAAAAAACUAGUGUCACUGUGGCUGGUGGGUUAAUGAGAGCUUUAUUUGAACUGCAUCAGUACACUGCAGAUUUUCCCCUCCUUUUCUUUAAAGAGUGA